AGUGAACGCUGGCGGUAGGCCUAACACAUGCAAGUCGAACGGCAGCACAGUAAGAGCUUGCUCUUACGGGUGGCGAGUGGCGGACGGGUGAGGAAUACAUCGGAAUCUACUUUUUCGUGGGGGAUAACGUAGAGAAACUUACGCUAAUACCGCAUACGACCUACGGGUGAAAGCAUGGGAUCUUCGGACCUUGCGCGAUUGAAUGAGCCGAUGUCGGAUUAGCUAGUUGGCGGGGUAAAGGCCCACCAAGGCGACGAUCCGUAGCUGGUCUGGGAGGAUGAUCAGCCACACUGGAACUGAGACACGGUCCAGACUCCUACGGGAGGCAGCAGUGGGGAAUAUUGGACAAUGGGCGCAAGCCUGAUCCAGCCAUACCGCGUGGGUGAAGAAGGCCUUCGGGUUGUAAAGCCCUUUUGUUGGGAAAGAAAAGCAGCAGGUUAAUACCCCGCUGUUCUGACGGUACCCAAAGAAUAAGCACCGGCUAACUUCGUG
rnacentral:rRNA from 1 species